GAUGAACGCUGGCGGUACGUCUAAUACAUGCAAGUCGAACGAGAACCUUCGGGUUCUAGUGGCGAACGGGUGAGUAACACGUAGGCAACCUAUCCUCUAAUUGGGAAUAACAGUUGGAAACGACUGCUAAUACCGAAUAAAGAUUUAUCAUCGCAUGAAGAUAAAUUUAAAGGCGCCUUUAAAGCGUCGUUAGAGGAGGGGCCUGCGGCGCAUUAGCUAGUUGGUGAGAUAAUAGCCCACCAAGGCGAUGAUGCGUAGCCGGACUGAGAGGUUGAACGGCCACAUUGGGACUGAGAACGGCCCAAACUCCUACGGGAGGCAGCAGUAGAGAAUCUUCGGCAAUGGGGGAAACCCUGACCGAGCGAUACCGCGUGAAUGAUGAAGUAUUUCGGUAUGUAAAAUUCUUUUAUUUGGGAAGAACAUUAUUGAUGGGAAAUGAUCAGUAACUGACGGUACCAAAUGAAUAAGUCCCGGCUAACUAUGUGCCAGCAGCCGCGGUAAUACAUAGGGGACAAGCGUUAUCCGGAAUUAUUGGGCGUAAAGGGUGCGUAGGCGGUUUAUUAAGUUUGAAGUUUAAAUUCAGAGCUCAACUCUGUAUCGCUUCAAAAACUGGUAGACUAGAGUAAAGUAGAGGCAAGUGGAAUUCAAUGUGUAGUGGUAAAAUGCGUAAAUAUAUUGAGGAACACCAGUGGCGAAGGCGGCUUGCUGGGCUUUAACUGACGCUAAGGCACGAAAGCGUGGGGAGCAAACAGGAUUAGAUACCCUGGUAGUCCACGCCGUAAACGAUGAGUACUAGGUGUCGGAAUUAUUCGGUGCCGCAGUUAACGCAAUAAGUACUCCGCCUGAGUAGUACGUGCGCAAGCAUAAAACUCAAAGGAAUUGGCGGGACCUCGCACAAGCGGUGGAUCAUGUUGUUUAAUUCGAGGAUACGCGAAGAACCUUACCAAGUCUUGACAUCCCUGGCAAAGAUAUAGAAAUAUAUUGGAGGUUAUCCAGGUGACAGGUGGUGCAUGGUUGUCGUCAGCUCGUGUCGUGAGAUGUUGGGUUAAGUCCCGCAACGAGCGCAACUCCUAUCGUUAUUUACCAUCAUUAAGUUGGGGACUAUAACGAGACUGCCAGUGACAAACUGGAGGAAGGUGGGAACGACGUCAAAUCAUCAUGCCCCUUAUGAUUUGGGCUACAAACGUGAUACAAUGGUUGGUACAGAGGGAAGCGAGAGCGCGAGCUUAAGCAAACCCCAGAAAAACAAUCUCAGUUCGGAUUGGAGUCUGCAACUCGACUCCAUGAAGCCGGAAUCGCUAGUAAUCGCAGAUCAGAACGCUGCGGUGAAUACGUUCUCGAGGUU
rnacentral:rRNA from 1 species